UCAAGCCAAGAGGAGGAAGUGAUG
rnacentral:siRNA from 1 species